CAUGCUUCCAGUGGGUCGUGGAACCCUAGACCCCUUUCCCCAAUCCCACGACCGCCUCCAUCCUCCCGUGCUCCACCCCGAGCGUGCUCGGGCUCCGCCUCCUCCUCCUCCUCCUCCACCAUCCCUUCUCUUCUCACUCUUCCUCCUAUCGCAGCUGCCUCCUCUUCUCCCUCUCUCCCUCCUCCUCGCCCCACGUGACCCCUCUCGCGCCGCUCGUCUCCACCUCAUAUCCAGAAUCUUCGCUGCCGCCAUAGACCGAGGAGGACGGCGCGAUGACGACCAUGAUGCACCGGACAUCCCAGAUCGACGACGCCAUGGAAGCCAUGAGAGCUGGCCGAGGAAAAGGGGGAAGGGCCACAUGCCAUGAAGGGCACGGCGGCUGUGGGCGGAAGCAGCAUGGGUUGAAGGAGCAGCGGAUGUGGGCGGGGUCGGAGGUUGGGGGAGACUCGUCGGCUGGGCGACAGCGAGCGCCGGUGAGUGCAAGCAUGUGUCUCCAGAAGCGUCCUCUCCUACAAGGCAGGCAAGGCCGACGUCGUCGCCCUCGCAGGUUCUACGAUCUGUUGCAUCCCUGUUCUCGUUAAGGUUAGCUGCUCUAUUUCCUAGGUACACGUGUAUUAUCGUUUAUGUGGGUGCUAUCAUGGUGCUUGGUCUGCUGAUCAUUUUAAUGUUCUGGAUCUGUGGUGUGGCUGCAUAGAGGGGAGGCGGCCAAUGACAGGGAGAAGGAUCAGGCCGUCGAGGAGUGCAAGCAGAAGAAUAAAUAGCACGGAGAACAUAUCAGUGCUCUAUGUGUGUCUAAGGGAUCCAAGAGAUGCAGCCAUAGACAGUGACUGGUCCCUGAAGUUUGGGACGUUAAAGAUAAAAGCAAGCAGUUUUCAGAAACUUUUAGUUGUGGCUCAUGGGUUGCAGCAACUGGGAAACCAUUGACAAAUGCGGUCUCAGUUGGAGUUGGUGGUAGCUUCCUUGGACCUCUGUUUGUGCAUGCAGCUCUCCAGAUUGACCCGAAAGCAGCAGAGUCUGCCAAAAGCUGGCAACUGAGAUUGUAAGCGUGUACUUAGGGUAUGUUUUGUAUUUCUUUCGCUGACACCUGUUACAUGUUCUUCUCGCACUUCCUAUGGAUGAUCAAAAAUAUUAAAUGUGAGUGAGUAGAGGCUUCCUUUUUGUCUUUCUGCACCAUUCAUGCAACCCUAACCAGGAAUUCUUUCAUUAUUGGAGUCUUUCAUUGUAUAUAUAACUAUUUAUUGAUGCAAGGUGGGAGAAGGAGGUGGCUGGCCUUUAUUGUGUUUUGGUGUGGUGCUCUCCUAUUUAAUGGUAGAUAUGAUGUAUAGGUUCAAGCAUGUGAUUUUUCUUUCAGUGCAUAUUUGUGCUUUACGAUGUUUGAUGCAUACAUAGUUGAACCUCUUACUCCAUGUAAUACUUUGCCAAAGAAGAAUUUAUUAAUGUUGGUGUUUUUUCUCUUUUCAGAUUUUAGCCUGGGUGCAUAAACAUACAUGCCGCACAUUAUAUUCAAAUUUCAGUGCAAGAUUAAACUAGGGAUAAAUCAUUAUGGAAGGGAAAUGAAUGAAUAACAAACUGUAUAGAUUUAUUAUCAUAUCAUUUAUUUUUGAUUGCAUGAUCUUAAUUGCUCAUCUCUGAAAUAUUUUAGGCUCUUGCUCUUGGAAUAUUAGACUGACGUGGUGUUGCUUUAUGAAUAAAUGGCGUGCUAACUUACUGGUUUGAUUUAGGUGUGUAGGCAGAGGAAACAAAAGAAUGAUACUCCCAGGUUUAGGCAUGCACAUGGUCACUGAUCACAAAGUAGGUAGGAACAUGUGCAGUAUUGUGAUUUUCAGCAAGAGGAAGAGAAACAUAGUUAAUUGUACGGAUUUUAAGCUACACUAUGUGAUGUUGCUCUAUUAUAAAGGCCUUGCUUAACUGCUUGGUUUGCAACAUGUAUUGCAUUUCCAGGGAUUAUCCUUUUGCUUAUUUAGUAUUUCCUAUGUUCUGUGAAGAUUAAUUUUGGCCCAUACAGUUUCCGGUGACUAGAAGUCUGAAACUGAAGACAGGGCAUAUUGUUUUGGUUAUGAGUGGUUGGAGAUAUUGUGGCUUGAUGUCCCUAGAGUUGUCAGACGCUUCCAAGAUCGGUGAGCCUGAUUUCUUCUGCAAUUCUUCCACCACAGUACAUGAAAAGGAAUAUGUUCUACCUAUUGGCACCAUUUCUUGUGGAGGAUUGGUGCUUCCCCUUUAUUUUGUCACACUUGGGUGUCCUUGAGUUCAGAAUAGAUUCACCUUUGUUCUGAUUCUGCGCACACGUCGAGCGACGGCAAGCACAUCAGACGGCAACACACGAAGGUGAUGUGAAGGCUAGCUACUGUGAUCAAGGAAAUAACAUGUAUCUGUGUGGUUUGUUCCUGCUAUUGAUCGGCCAUUGCUCGUUUAAGGUAUGUUGUGCCCGUUGCUACUUAAUGCUAUAUAAAACCUAUAGCUGUACAUAAAACGCCUUGAUAUGCAAAUAACCCAGUUAAAAUAAAUGGGUUGCGCCAUCUAGCAUUACAUGACGACAUGCCAAACACUUUGCCACAUAGGAUAGUCUAUAUUUGUAUUUCAUUCAGUUAUCUCAUAUUUCCAGUAAAAAAAUUCUUCGCUUUGGGGUUUUGGAAUAAUCUUCAGGAAGUUGGUGACGAGUUAGUAGAACUUAUGGAAAUGUCGAUACUGUAGCUCAAAGUGUAAGAUAUUUUAUGUCCUUCUAUGCAUUUAUUGAUACUGUAGCCUGUUGGCUGACUGUCCCUUACUUAUCCAGAAACACUGAGUUGUGCUACUUACCCAACCAUAUGUUAAAUAUUUCAAAAUGCGUCUUUAUAUUGUCAUUGUAUCGUAAUUGCUUCUCCUGAUGUGUUUUUGUUUUACACCAGCAUAUAUUUAGUCCAGUGAUAUUCAAUUGUUUGUCUGAUAAGAUAAUAUUUUACAUCUUUAUGGAGCACUCUUAUGGCAAGCACAUUUUUUCUGAAUGAACUGCUGGUUUGUUUUUUUCUCCAUAAAUACGAUAAAUUAUCAUAUCAUAUGAAAUGUUAAGAUAUACUGAAAAUAUGCCCUGUAUGAUGGUGGUCUGGCAUUUUAGAAUUGUUUUGGGCAAUGCAUGUCUGUAUGCAUUUUUUCUUUUGGCCCUUGAAGGCUUCCAUGGUACGCAUCACAUCUUUAAUAGUUUGCAAUUGCGAUAAAAAUUGUUGUGCUCGUAUCUUUAGUUUUUGUUACACGUGGAGAUAAUGCCACAACUCUUCCUGGAAUUAUACUGUCAACUUAUGCUGAAUUUUUUAUUUGUAUGUAGGCCACAAGUGAUAAUUGCUACAUCUAUUAUGUUCUGUCACCGUUUUUACCUUCGUCAAUCUCAUGCAAAAAAUGAUAGACGAGUAAGUGUUAGCCAAUGACUAACUAUAGUCCAAAUUUUAAAUAUUUGUUGAAGUGUAGCUUCUAACUUUAUAACAUGUAGAUACUUUAUUUGAGUUUAUAAUAUCCUGUUUUUUGCCUCAUAGUUUAGUUUAUAUAAAAAUAACAAAUAGUUUCUAUCUCCAUGGUUUUCCAGUUUGGUGAUUGUUCUCUCCAUAUAGAGGCAUUAAUAGCUAAUAAUACACUUUGUACUUCUCCAGUCCAAUAGAAGUUGGCGCUGAAGCUAGCAACAGACUCUGUAGAUGUCAAAACAACUUGUACUUUUGUGAACUGCACGGGGUGGUUAUAAACAGUAGGUAUUUUCUAUGAGGAUAAGAUGCACAGAUGUACAUCCUCUUGGUGUGAUGUGGGGAUUUUAGUUUAGAAGAGCCUGAGACCUUGUUACUAAAUAGCAGUUCACAGGUGGGCACACCAUUCGAUCAAUUAUGCGGGGUUGAGGGUUUAUCAUGAAUAUUUUGGCUGGUACAGCUCUCAAACACACAGCAGAGUUGAUUUAGGCCCAGUUACUCUUAAAUUAUUGAACGUGAAAGCAUUUGAAAAUCACCCUAUCCAUGAAGUAGUACCAAGCGUGUUUACUGAAAUAGGAGUGCAUGUGAUUUCUUGUGUUCUUAUCUGCAGCAGCAGUGGUAAUGGUGUGAUUUUCCUCUAUAUGUCUUGAUAGAAUAUUAGUAUUCUAUACUAUUUGUUAUGCAGUUAUUCUUAUUUUUUUCAUGGCGAAUGGGCAAAUGAAGUCUGAAUCUAACAUCUAUAUAGACAAUCGCUACUGUUUGCAUGUUCUUGGCUGGAAAAGUCGAAGAAACACCCAGGCCUUUGAAGGAUGUCAUCCUGGUUUCUUAUGAGCUUAUUCAUAAAAAGGAUCCUGCUGCUGGUCAGAAAAUCAAGCAGAGGGUAAUGUAAUGGAUCCAAUUGGAUGCUUCUUUUGCUAUGGAUUGUUCUUUGGUGAACCUUUUUCCCUUUACAAAAGUUGUAGCAUGUCCAUGACCUAAUUUCACCCUAUAAAUCUUGUUGUUCUCAUACAAUAACAGAAAAUAACUUCAGAAAUAUAGCCAAUAGAAGGCUGGCUAUUUCUAUCAGAAUCCUAACCUUUUCUCAUCAGUAUAUCAUUUAUUUUGGAAUUGUUUUGAUUGCAUCAUCAUCUGCUGAAAAGUUUACGAGACUGAUAAUGAUCUAGAAUAAAACUAUAUUCUAACCUACGAGGAGGCUGGGCACGUCUUCUAACCCGCAACAGACUGUAUAGGCAGCGGGAGCGCCGGUCCAGACCAUGGACGCAGCUUGGUCGAGCUAUAACGAGUGCAUCUAAUUCCAACUCAUCAAGGUGAGCUCCCUCUUUUAUUCUUCUCAGGCAAUGAGGCGUCAUUGUAGGCCCAAUCUUUUUGUUUGUUGCUUUGAAGAGUGCUGUCAUGUUGUGGAAAGGCAACAUGUGCUUGAUAUGUGGAGUUGGUGUUGAGCCUGGCGGUAGUAGACAUGGAAGGCACCCAUCUCACUUGAUCUUGAGAGUUGAUUCAUAUCUUUUUUUCUUGACCUGAUUGAGUUCCUGUAUAUGCAAGGAUAAAGAAUAAGGGGCAUUGUCGUGGUUGUUGCAGAAGGUGUUGGUCAGGAGCUGAUUGCCGGGACUGAUGACAAGAAUGGAGAGCAGGAUGAGUAUGUCAACAUGCUGUUCCUUGACGUUGGCCUUCUUUUAUAAAGUUCACAUGCAACUCUCCUCCAUGGUUAGAAAAAAACUAAUUUAAACAUUUUGUUUCUUUGAUGGUUACUCAUUUCUCUUACAGUUGUUGUAUCAAAACAAUUGUAUUUGUUGAUGGCCACUUGGGCUCAUUUUCGAGGAGAAUGAGAUGUGGAAUAAACUACUCUGAAAUGGUUGGUUCCCUUCAGACAGUUUAUUAGCUAACUAAUUUUGGCUGCUGUUGCACAUGA